CAUCAUAGUCAAAGCAACCUUCAAGCCUGGAACCUUGGAGAAGCUCCAAAGACAGUACAUGCAGUGAAGAAGGGGAAGAUGAGGAAGAAAGGGGUUGUGGACCUCCGACUCAAUUCUGGGGAGGCAUGCCAGGGGGGAAGAUUUGGGGAGGAUCUGGGGGGCAGAUAGUUCUUGGAUUGGAUGGAUAACACUAUAAAAUUUUAGAACCACUGGACACAGGCGCACGCCUUUUUGUGUACUCUUAUUGC